UACGUAGGGCGCAAGCGUUGUCCGGAAUUAUUGGGCGUAAAGAGCUCGUAGGUGGCUUGUUGCGUCUGCCGUGAAAUCCCGUGGCUUAACUGCGGGUCUGCGGUGGAUACGGGCAGGCUAGAGGCUGGUAGGGGCAAGCGGAAUUCCUGGUGUAGCGGUGAAAUGCGCAGAUAUCAGGAGGAACACCGGUGGCGAAGGCGGCUUGCUGAGCCAGUUCUGACGCUGAGGAGCGAAAGCGUGGGGAGCGAACAGG
rnacentral:rRNA from 1 species